AGCUUUGCGCAGUGGCGAUAUCGUAACCAAUGAGGUACAACCGAGGUGCGAUUAUUACUAGUUGAAAACUAAUUUGAAGCAUCAGCCUUCAGUGAACAUACUGACCACCGAACCAUGAUUCGGCCUUUUUCCAACAGUUUAUUAGCU